rnacentral:rRNA from 1 species
GAUGAACGCUGGCGGCGUGCCUAAUACAUGCAAGUCGAGCGAACAGACGAGGAGCUUGCUCCUCUGACGUUAGCGGCGGACGGGUGAGUAACACGUGGAUAACCUACCUAUAAGACUGGGAUAACUUUGGGAAACCGGAGCUAAUACCGGAUAAUAUAUUGAACCGCAUGGUUCAAUAGUGAAAGACGGUUUUGCUGUCACUUAUAGAUGGAUCCGCGCCGCAUUAGCUAGUUGGUAAGGUAACGGCUUACCAAGGCGACGAUGCGUAGCCGACCUGAGAGGGUGAUCGGCCACACUGGAACUGAGACACGGUCCAGACUCCUACGGGAGGCAGCAGUAGGGAAUCUUCCGCAUUGGGCGAAAGCCUGACGGAGCAACGCCGCGUGAGUGAUGAAGGUCUUCGGAUCGUAAAACUCUGUUAUUAGGGAAGAACAAAUGUGUAAGUAACUAUGCACGUCUUGACGGUACCUAAUCAGAAAGCCACGGCUAACUACGUG